rnacentral:rRNA from 1 species
GGUGAGUAACACGUAGGUCAUCUGCCCCUAUCACAGACAUAACUCCGGGAAACCGGUGCUAAUAUCUGAUGAGGUCGCGAGAUCAAAGCUUCGGCGGAUAGGGAUGAGCCUGCGGCUGAUUAGCUAGUUGGUGAGGUAAUGGCUCACCAAGGCGACGAUCAGUAGCUGGUCUGAGAGGACGAACAGCCACACUGGAACUGAGACACGGUCCAGACUCCUACGGGAGGCAGCAGUGAGGAAUAUUGGUCAAUGGGAGCAAUCCUGAACCAGCAAUGCCGCGUGUGGGAUGACAGGGCUUCGCCUUGUAAACCACUGUCGGAUGGGACGAGAGGGAGCCUUGGGCUCCUGGGACGGUACCAUCAAAGGAAGGGUCGGCUAACUACGUGCCAGCAGCCGCGGUAAUACGUAGGACCCGAGCGUUGUCCGGAUUCACUGGGUAUAAAGGGUGCGUAGGCGGUCUUGUGCGUCAGAGGUGAAAUAUCCGGGCUUAACCCGGAGGGUGCCUUUGAUACGGCAGGACCUGAGUCCGAGAGAGGAUGAUGGAAUUCCUGGUGUAGCGGUGAAAUGCGUAGAUAUCAGGAGGAACACCGGUGGCGAAGGCGGUCAUCUGGCUCGGAACUGACGCUGAGGCACGAAAGCGCGGGGAUCAAACAGGAUUAGAUACCCUGGUAGUCCGCGCCCUAAACGAUGUAUGCUUGGUGUUGGGCCUUUCGGGGCUCAGUGCCGUAGGGAAUCUGAUCAGCAUACCACCUGGGGAGUACGAUCGCAAGGGUU